rnacentral:rRNA from 1 species
AGAAUCAACGCUGGCGGCGUGCCUAACACAUGCAAGUCGAACGAGAAAGUGGAGCAAUCCAUGAGUAAAGUGGCGACCGGGUGAGUAACACGUGACUAACCUACCUUCGAGUGGGGGAUAACCUCGGGAAACCGAGGCUAAUACCGCAUAACAUCGUGAGAUCAAAGCAGUAAUGCGCUGGAAGAGGGGGUCGCGGCUGAUUAGCUAGUUGGCGGGGUAAUGGCCCACCAAGGCGAAGAUCGGUAGCCGGCCUGAGAGGGCGCGACGGACCGACGACCUGGAACGUGAAACACGGUCCAGACUCCUACGGGAGGCAGCAGUGGGGAAUUUUGCGCAAUGGGGGAAACCCUGACGCAGCAACGCCGCGUGGAGGAUGAAGUCCCUUGGGACGUAAACUCCUUUCGACCAAGACGAUAAUGACGGUACUGGUGGAAGAAGCACCGGCUAACUCUGUGUCAGCAGCCGC